rnacentral:lncRNA from 1 species
UCGGAUAUUAUUGUUUCAAGAUUAUUUUUUUUAUUCAUUGACUUUUAUGAUUUGCCUUAAUUUUUUUUCUUAUAAAUAUUGUCAUAAUUAUUCAUUAUUGUUUGAUAAUUAAAUUUAUUUCAAUCGUUAGCAUACUUGUCCCAUUAUUAUUCCAUGAGUUUAUUUAAGUCGUAUCUAUGGCGUCCUUUCGAAGCACCAACACCCAUUUUUUGAUUUUUCAGUUUUAAUUUCAAUUUCAUCCCCCCUGACCUGUUGAUACUUUUUUUUUACUUGACCCUCCAUCAUCAAAAGUUUAGCUGUUACUAAAUUUACCUUUGUGGCAUUUGACUGUGCUGGCCCACCAGCUUAAUCGUUUUUAGAUAUGACUAAUCUUUCAUAAUUAAAAACCAGUGAACCAUCCAGAUUAUAUAGUGACUCGCCCAUCGAAAAAUCUCUUCUUUUAUUUAAUACUCAUCCUAUUUCCUCGUUUUUAUCAUUGAUUCAUAUGUUAAUCUUUAGUCUACUAUUAAUUUAUAGACUAUUUAAUAUUGUCAUUUUUUUUCCUUUUUUCUGAGACAACUUCUCAUGGAUGAGUUCAAUGUUAUGCAGGCUGUUGAAAAAACUACAAUCUGAUUAUAAAAAAAAAAUGAUUAUAUUUAAAAUUAUAAAAUUUAGGUAUAUGAAAAAAUAAAAAAAUAAAAAACAGAUUGUAUUUUUUUGGACAGUCCGCACAACGUUGAACUCAUUUAUGGGAAGUUGUCUCAGGACAUCAAAAAUUUCCGCGUACAUAAAUUCAAACCAUGGUUGCAAUACAAGGAUACGACUUAGAUAAAAUUCAUGGAAUAAUAAUGCGACGCGUAUGCUAAUUAUUGGAGCAAAUUUAAUUAUUAAACGGUAAUAAAUAAUUAUCAGCAUUAUUGGCAUUAUAUCAAAUAAAUCUUGGAUAUCAAUAAUAUCUUGGAUAUAUAUUCAGGAUGUAUCCAAGAUAUAUUCGAAUUGCAUUUAUCCAGGAUGUAUAUUUUUUCAUGGGGGCACAAAAAAAAAAAAAAUAAAUAUAUUAAGCAAAUGAAUUAAAAACAAAAGGAAAUAAUAAAUAAUUUAAAAAAUAAAACUGCCGAGUACGUCGACUGUUGAUUGGCUGUAAUAUCUAGUAAUAACUAAAUUCAAGAGAUAAACAACCAACAAUAGUUGAACAACAAAAAAAACAAGAUCAACAACCCAAAAUAAUUGAAAUAAAAUCAGCAUGCUUAUUGCAAUAAUAAUUGAUAAUCAAAUCAAUAAUAAUAAACCAGAAAAGAUUGCUGAACAAGUACUAUCUUUUCAACUAAUAACAUUGGAGUUGAUGCUGGUUUCAUUGAGGCAAUAAGACAAGCAAAAGGGAAACAAAAUUACAUCAUGUUCCAUUUCAAAUGCUUUCUUCAUGUUUGUCUGACAUCUGUCUGAAAUCUGAAUCAGUUAUAAAACAGCAUGAUAUUCAUCUAAACGAAUGGUGGAAUUAUUGAUUAAUUGGGAAAAAAGAUCCACUAGAAAUUGAUUUAUGAGUGUUCAUUGGUCAUUUGGAAAAAAACUUAGAUGCUGGUGCAUCACGUGAUGAUGAUGAAUGAUGAUGCAUCUGAUGAAGUGGCAAAUCGAAUUUACUCGUUGAGUUUUUUAUUUUUACAAUUUGCUAAAUAUUCAUUUGAAAAAAUAUAUAUUGACAUUAUUUAUUAAAAAAUUCUUUGUGGCAAAAUAAAGAAAAUAAAUAAUUAAAAACAAUAAAAUAAAAAAGUAAUUCAAUUGAGUAAUUAGGAAUUAUAAUUUUAAAGAAAUUCAGCAAAUCUGGAUAAAAAGAUUAGGAAAAAAUGAUGGCUGCCUCAGAUCCACAGGAUUAUACACCAGGUGGACGUGAAACAUAUUGCCGGCAUCCUGGUUUUGUGAUUCAUCAACAGAAUCAAUUAAAUCCAAAAGAAAAUGAUAGUAUAUUAUUUAAAAAAUUUAUUCAAGUAAAUAUGUAACAGAUAAAUCAGUUGAAGAAUUUUGGAUAGCACGUGAAAAUGAUAAAUUUGGUGAAGAAGAAUUAUAUUGUUGUGGUAAAUUUAAAUCCAUAUGGACCAGUUGAUUAUGUGUUAUUAUAAUAUUCAAAUAAUUUUUUCUUGAUCAAGAUUUGAUCCAGAAUGGAUCAGGCUAUCCCUAUUAAGGAUAGAAUAAGGCUAGCUGGAUCCAAAAUGAAUUUAAAAAAAAAGUAUCAAAUUUAUUUCUUCAAAUUUUACAAUUUAUUCCAUUAUCAUGGUGUUAACAACAGUCAUCAUCAAAUGAAACUGCUGCGGUUAACAGCAUCGUAAUAGAUAUUUAGAAAAAAAAAAAAAUACAAACAAAGGAUUUAUAUAUAAAUAAAAAUAAUAAAUUAAUUUCUUUUUUUAAAUGCAUUUUUAUUUGAUAAUAAAAAAAUUGGAUCAGCCAAAAUCAAUAAUUAUUAGUUGGGAAUUUUAGUUAUUUAUUUUUUGUUUUUUUUUUUUGUUGUUUCUUAAUUUAUUUACAUUCCUAUAGAGACUUAAGUUACAUUCCUCACAUCAAUAAUUUCAUUGGGAAUAAUUUUAUUUGAACCAUUAUUUAUUUUGUUCUUUCAUACUUUCUUUCUCCACAUGUUUGUUUUAUUGAUAUUU